GACGAACCGUCCAAACGUUAUUCGGAAUCACUGGGCUUACAGAGUUCGUAGGCGGUCUGGAAAGUUGGGUGUGAAAUCCCUCGGCUCAACCGAGGAACUGCGCUUGAAACUACCAGACUCGAGGGAGAUAGAGGAAAGCGGAACUGAUGGUGGAGCGGUGAAAUGCGUUGAUAUCAUCAGGAACACCGGUGGCGAAGGCGGCUUUCUGGGUCUUACCUGACGCUGAGGAACGAAAGCGUGGGGAGCAAACAGG
rnacentral:rRNA from 1 species